rnacentral:rRNA from 1 species
AGUGAACGCUGGCGGUAGGCCUAACACAUGCAAGUCGAACGGCAGCACAGUAAGAGCUUGCUCUUACGGGUGGCGAGUGGCGGACGGGUGAGGAAUACAUCGGAAUCUACUUUUUCGUGGGGGAUAACGUAGGGAAACUUACGCUAAUACCGCAUACGACCUACGGGUAAAAGCAGGGGAUCUUCGGACCUUGCGCGAUUGAAUGAGCCGAUGUCGGAUUAGCUAGUUGGCGGGGUAAAGGCCCACCAAGGCGACGAUCCGUAGCUGGUCCGAGAGGAUGAUCAGCCACACUGGAACUGAGACACGGUCCAGACUCCUACGGGAGGCAGCAGUGGGGAAUAUUGGACAAUGGGCGCAAGCCUGAUCCAGCCAUACCGCGUGGGUGAAGAAGGCCUCCGGGUUGUAAAGCCCUUUUGUUGGGAAAGAAAAGCAGCAGGUUAAUACCCCGCUGUUCUGACGGUACCCAAAGAAUAAGCACCGGCUAACUUCGUG